rnacentral:lncRNA from 1 species
UUUUUUUUUUUUUUUUUUUCCUUUUUGGGUAUUGAAAUUAAAAAUAUUGCAAAAAUUGUAUCAUAGAAAAAAAAGAUAUUGCAAAGAGCAGAACUUAGAAACAAACAGAUGGAUAAUAUCAAAUAAUAUUUUUUAUUGAUGUUCUCAAAGAGAAAUUUUAAAUACACAUCUUUAAUUUCUUAAUACACAUCCUUUGCUUAAUAUACUCAUCAUCUAGUUUUUCAUUUUGAUAUUAAACUUAUAGAAAAUUUCAUAUAAGUCUACUUUGGGAUAUUUUCUUCCACAUAAGUCCACCCAAACAUUUUUACCCACAUAAGUCCACUUUUAAGCCUAAAUAUGUCAUUUUGUUUUUACGAUAUACCUAAAAUACCCUCCGAUCUUUUACACCAAAUAUGUUCGUUUCUCUCUCUUACGGAUUCAGAAUUUCAGAUCGGACAUAAGGACCAGAGCCAAAUAUGAUUAGUUGAGAGCUCCACAAGCGUUGUUCGUCGUGGUUUGCACGUCCUUCAUGGCGGUCCAGUUGUCGACGGUAGAGAAGAAGACCGGGAUCGGAAACCAUAGAUCUGAACCUUCUCUCUAUCCAUUCUUCCACUUCGAUUCCGCCGCCGCCGCCGUGACAAAGUUGCCACCGCUUCGACGAUGACUUUUGGAUCCACCGUCGAAAACUCCUCGACGACCUACGCUUCGGCCUCGACUGCAUCUCAUCAACGCAAAGGUCAAACCGAUUCCGAUGACGUGGUCCACCUCCUCUCUCUCUCUCUAUCUUCUCUUUCUCUCUCUUGCUCCUCUGAUUCCAUCAUUUCUCCGAUAAAGCUGAAGCCAGUGGUACAUUUUGUUGCUAACCGAUUCCAUUAUAUCUUCUCUUUCUCUCUUUUGUAACCGGUGGUACAUUUUGUUGCUAAAGGUAGUAGUUUUUGUAGAUGGUGGUAGUAGUUUUUGUAGAUGGUGGUAGUAUCUUUUGUGGCCGGUGGUAGUAUUUUUUAUGUUCGUCGAAAACCUCACAGUAGUAGCUUUUGUAGACGGUGAUUGUAGCUUUUGUAGCUGGUGGUAGUAGCUUUUGCGGCCGGUGACAGUAUUUUUUGUGUUCGUCGGAAACCUCACAGUAGUAGCUUUUGUAGCUGGUGGUAGUAGCUUUUGUGGCUGGUAGUAGUAGUAUUUGUGUUCAUUGGNNNNNNNNNNNNNNNNNNNNUAGCUUUUGUAGGCGGUGGUAGUAGCUUUUGUAGCUUGUGGUAGUAACUUUUGUGGCUGGUGGUAGUAAUUUUUGUGUUCAUCGGAAACCUCACAAUAGUAGCUUUUGUAGGCGGUGGUAGUAGUUUUUGUGUUCAUCGGAAACCUCAUAGUAGUAGCUUUUGUAGGCGGUGGUAGUAGCUUUUGUCGCUUGUGGUAGUAGCUUUUGUGGCUGGUAAUAGUAGCUUUUGUGUUCAUCGGAAACCUCACAGUAGUAGCUUUUAUAGGCGGUGGUAGUAGCUUUUGUAGCUGGUGGUAGUAGCUUUUAUAGCUGGUAGUAGUAAUUUUUGUCAUCGUCGGAGGUCGGUCGGAAAUCUCGCAGAAGGUCGGCCGGAAACCUCGCCGGAGGUCCACUUGAAACCUCGCCGGAGGUCCGUCGGAGACUGUUCCGAAAUGAGAGUGAUUGUUGACUUUUUAUACUAGUGGCAUUCUUGUAAAUAUAAAAGAGAAAAUCUAAUUUUUUUUGUUGGAUGGCAGUCUGUAAUUAUGUUGAACUUCAAUACUUAAUACAAAACCUUAUUUAGACUUGGGUAGACUUAUGUGGGUAAAAAUGUUAGGGUGGAUCUAUGUGGGAAUAAAUGUCUCAAAGUGGACUUAUAUGUAAUUGACUCUUAAACUUAAUACACAUCUCAAACUGCUUAUAAUACCCUUAUUUCUAAAACUAAGAAAUAAUAUGUUAUUUAGUAUAAUUAUUAUAAAUUUACUAUAUAUUUUGGUAACUCUUUUACGUAUUUUUUUUUCUAUUUUUUGCUAGUAAUUUUUUCUUUUCAUCGUCAAAUUUAUAAUUAAAAGACUAUUAUUACACAAAUUUUAAAUCUCCAAUGCAACAUCAAUCAUUUGGAAUUCGAAAAAAAUAUCAACUAUUUCAAUUUUUCAGAAUUCACAAGCUAGUAAAAAUACAUUAGGUCACUAGCUAUUAAACAUAUAUACUGUAGUCGGUUGUGCAUAAAACAAUCUCCCAAACCCGUAAACCAACAAGCAUCCCACCAUAUUCAAGACAACCGAGGCCGCCCUAGGGUUCCCAUUCAUGUGUAGGAUGGGUCGGGCCCGACCUCGGUGGCAGCAUUGGGCCGGGAACGGUUUUAGAAGACAUAAGGGAGCUGGCACUACCAGAAGAAAGGCUUUAGCUGAUGAAAAUAAAAAAACCAGGCCGACGAAUUAUUUUUUCGUCGGCUAAUUUAAAAUUUUCGUCGGCUAUAGUCAACUUUAGCGGACGAAAUUAAAAUUUCGUCGGCUGAAAUUUUUUUUUCGUCGGCUAUAGUCUGUGAACUUUAGCCGACGAAAUUUUUAAAAGUUUAGCCGACGAAAAAUAUAAUUUCGUCGGCUAAAGUUCUUUUUUUUUACAGAUCUGGACAACAACUUAUCUAGGAAAAAGAAAACUAUACGUAAAACCUUCAAACGCAAAAAAGCCGUGAAACAAGAUAUGACCAGAAUGGUGAAAUACGUCUACGGUUGAAAAAUCAUGGUAUUCCGGUAAAGUCUCGGUGCCGAUAGUUGCGGUCAAUGCAAUUUACCCUUAUUAUUCACUAUGCUGCAGAUUUGGCAUUUGGUGUCCGAUUGACUAUUGUAAUACCUUUUCAGAAGCGUAACGGCCCUACGAGUCAAACUCAUUGCUAAUGCCAUGACAUAUAGGCCUUUUUGGCCAUCCGAGUCUGUUUAGGGCUUCAAAAUGUAGUUUUCUUAUUUUCGAUUAGAGUUGACCGUUUCGAUCGAGCCCUUAACGUUGUCGAAUCCAGUUGAAUUUUUUACCAUAGACAUCUUUCGUCAUAAUGAUCAUAUCUGACGAUCGAAUUUUAGUUUGUAAAUUUUAGUCAUCGGAAUCACAACGUGUCUACUAUUUACCGUUAUUAUUCCAUAUGGGGAGCCCUAUCGUCUGAAGGUAAAUGUCUCAAAAUUUUUAUAUGGAAAGUUGUGUCUCAUCUACGUGAGAGUUUUUCGUGUGGAAGGUUUGACCAAACUACGUAAUAUAGAGGGAGAUAUGAGCGUUUUCGUGUGAUAAGUGAAGAUGGAUUAUGGUUGACCGUUUCGAUCGAGCCCUUAACGUUGUCGGAUCCAGUUGAAUUUUUAACCAUAGACAUCUUUCAUCAUAAUGAUCAUAUCUGAUGGUCGAAUUUUGGUUUGUGAAUUUUAGUCAUCGGAAUCACAAUAUGUCUACUAAUGUUGUAUACUUGUUUAGUAGGUUAUACAACUUUGUGAACCAACUCUAUAUAGGAAGCAAAAUUAUCAAAAAUCUCGUGAAAUAAGAUGUGUUCAUAAUGGUGAAAUACGGCUAUGGUUUAAAAAUUAUGUAAAUCGGGUAACGUCUCGGUGCCGAUAAUAGCGGUCAACCCUAUUUACAGUUAUUAUUUCCCAUGGGGAGCCCUAUCGUCGGAAGGUAAAUGUCUCAAAAUUUUUAUAUAGGUGGUUGCGUCUCAUCUAUGUGAAAGUUUUUCGUGUGAAAUGUUUGAUCAAACUACGUAAUAUAGAGGGAGAUAUGAACGUUUUCGUGAAUUUAUAGACUUUAGCCGAUGAGAUAUUAAAAAAGUCGUCGGCUAAGGUCAAAAUUUUUUUUGUGGUAAACCAAAUUUGAAGGAAAAUUUUCAAAGGACUUUAGCCGAUGAAAAUAUAUGAAACGUCGUCGGCUAAAGUCGAAAAAAAAUUUGGCGGCAAACCAAACUCUUUUCAAAAUUUUCAAAGGACUUUAGCCGACGAAAAUAUAUGAAAAGUCGUCGGCUAAAGUUGAAAAUUUUUCAAAAUUUUGAAAAUUUUCAACCAAAAUUUUUUGGCGGUCAACCAAAAUUUUCAAAAGAGUUUAGCCGACGAAAAUAAAGAAUUUCGUCGGGUAAAGUUCUUUAUAUAGGAGUUUUACCACACUUGAGACUGCCACACCCUAGUUUUUCUUCUCGGCCUAGCUCCGCCGUCAAGCCACCGGAGACCGUCACACUUGUCCCUAAAGCUUCGUCGUCGUCUCUACUUCAUUGUUGGACAGGUGGUGCAUCGAGUGGCGCCGCCGUGAGGGAUAAAUCGAGCUCCAAAACUCUGCCGGUUCGGAUUCGGUGUCGAUCAAAUUUCUCCUUCCUCAGGUCACCAUUUGGUGAGUUCUAUAUAUGGAUAAGUUGAGUUUGAUUAGUACUACAUUCCCCUAGAAUUUGGUAGCUCGAUUCGAUGUGUGUGAGGAGAAUCGAAGAUUUGAAGUUUUUAGGGUUUAAAAUUAGAGAUUUUUAUAUUUUGAUUCAAUUGACCUGUUUAGGCUAAGAAUUGGGCUUCGACUUCUUCUAGAAAGUUGUUUGAAAUGUUGAGAGGAAGAUUCUGUCAAAUUUUGGUAGUGAUUGGAGGUAGCCGAAAGUUUCUGCAGUUUUUUUUUUCAAAAACCAGCAACUUUAGCCGACGAUAUUUAAAUACUUUAGCUGACGAUAUUUAUACGAUAUUCGUCGGCUAUAGUAUUUUUUUAAUUUUUUUAUUAAGGUUUAGCCGACGAAUUAUGGCAUGUUUCGUCGGCUAUAGUAUUUUUUUAAUUUUUUUAUAAGGUUUAGCCGACGAAUUAUGGCGUGUUUCGUCGGCUAUAGUUAUUUUUUUAUUUUUUUUAUUACGGUUUAGCCGACGAAACAGACUAUAUUUCGUCGGCUAUAGUUAUUUUUUUAAUUUUUUAUUACACACUUUAGCCGACGAAUAUCUUAAUUGUUUCGUCGGCUAAAGUCUGGGAAAAAAACCGACGACAUGUUUUUCGUCGGCUAAACUAUGGGACUAUAGCCGACAAAAUUUUUUUUUUCGUCGACUAAAGUCAUCACCGACGACCUUUUCCCGACGAAAUCUUAGCCGACGAAUUAAGCUAACAGGCCGACGAAACUUUUUCGUCGGCUAAAGUGCUUAUCCUGGUAGUGUGGGUGUUUGAAGUAACAACAAAGGCAGUUGUCCCACAUCGGUUUUUAAGUAAAGAGAACUCACUCUGGGCCAUAAAUAUGGCCUAGUCACCAGUUUUUCAAGUAUCAAUAACUUCCCUAGUAAUUACAUUCAACCAACAGAGACUGACUUAAUCAUCGGAGGAGGAAAGACUGGAAGCCCCCGGUCAACCUUGUGCUUGCAGGUCAACGAGAGGAUAGUUUACCACCCAACGGACACGCCAUCAGCUUCUGCAGCCCUAUCCGAGAUUGUACAGAAACAUAUACCUACUUUUUUCAAUACAACAUGUCAAGAUGAACAUGUAGUACUUCAAAAUGGUCUGUAAGAUCAAAACUAAAACUGAUACAAAAAAGAAAAAAAGAGACAGAACUCAAAUGACAACAAUACAUGUGAUUAUUUGGUAGCAGUCGAAAUUUGGGUCAUGAAUUCUAAAGAGUUUUUUACGUAUGAAACUAUGAUUUGUGGAGAAUAGUCAAGUUUAUGGAAGAAGUAGUUGUUUUGAUGGUUUUAGGGUAAGAGAUUAGAUUUCUAAUUGUGAUUUUUUUUUUUUUUUUAAUAAUAGAUGUCUGUUUUGGUCAUUAAAUAUGUCUAAAAUAUUUGAUGUGAAAUAUAAAUUAAUAUGAGUGUGUAUUAAAAGAUUAGGGGUGUGUAUUUAAAAUUAUUCGUUCUCAAAAUACAAUCUUGUUUGAAUCAAAUCAAAUAUGCACUCUUUCUUUGAAUCAAAUCAAGGGGCUUUUAACCUGCAAACAAAAAUAUAAACAAACACUAGUACAAGAAUGAAUUCAAGCUCUUAUUAAUGAGAUCAGAUCAAACAAUCCAAACCGCCCAAAACCCUAACUCGAAUCAGAGAACCCAGAGUUGGGUCAAGCUCUUAUUAAUGAGAUCAGAUCAAACAAUCCAAACCGUCCAAAACCCUAACUCGAAUUAGAGAACCCAGAGUUGGGUUGCAGACUUGCAGAUUGACGUCGGAUCUGGGAAGCGGAAAGGCGUCGGAUCGGGAAGCGGAAUCGAUCGAUUGAGAGCGAAAUGGAUUCGGCGUCGGAUCUGGGAAGCGGAACCGCGCCGGAUCGGGGAGGCGGAGUCGAUCGAGAGACAGAGGAUCACCGUGAUCGAUUGAGAGAAUUUUAGAAACAGAAGAGAGAGAGAUCGGAAAUAGGUUAGAGAAGAGAGAGACAGGGGGGCUAUUUAUAAUAACGAACGAAACGGCACCGUUGCGUUCUAAUGACGCGGGUCCAGGCUGGUCCUCGUGGGCCGCCUUUCCUUCACGCGCUGACAAGCGCGUCUCCAAAAAAACUGUUACAACGGCUACAAUUUUUGAAAUACAGUCAACAUUUCUUUGCUUUAGUCAUACCUUCUGCUUACCUUGGAGAAAAAAAAAAAAAAAUCCUACUGUUUAAAAAAAAAAAUACCUACAAAAAAAAACAACUAC